rnacentral:rRNA from 1 species
CCUACGGGGGGCAGCAGUGGGGAAUAUUGGGCAAUGGGGGAAACCCUGACCCAGCAACGCCGCGUGAAGGAAGAAGGCUUUCGGGUUGUAAACUUCUUUUACCAGGGACGAAGGACGUGACGGUACCUGGAGAAAAAGCUCCGGCUAACUACGUGCCAGCAGCCGCGGUAAUACGUAGGGAGCGAGCGUUGUCCGGAUUUACUGGGUGUAAAGGGCGUGUAGGCGGAGGAGCAAGUCAGAUGUGAAAUCUCCGGGCUUAACCCGGAAACUGCUUUUGAAACUGUUCCCCUUGAGUACUGGAGAGG